GGAAGGGGUGUAUUUAUUAGAUUAAAAACCAAUGCCCUCUGGGCUCUUUGGUGAUUCAUGAUAACUUCUCGAAUCGCACGGCCUUGCGCCGGCGAUGGUUCAUUCAAAUUUCUUCCCUAUCAACUUUCGAUGUUUGGGUAUUGGCCAAACGUGGUUGCAACGGGUAACGGAGGGUUAGGGCUCGACCCCGGAGAAGGAGCCUGAGAAACGGCUACUACAUCCAAGGAAGGCAGCAGGCGCGCAAAUUACCCAAUCCCGACACGGGGAGGUAGUGACAAUAAAUACUGAUACAGGGCUCUUUUGGGUCUUGUAAUUGGAAUGAGUACAAUUUAAAUCCCUUAACGAGGAACAAUUGGAGGGCAAGUCUGGUGCCAGCAGCCGCGGUAAUUCCAGCUCCAAUAGCGGUAUAUUAAAGUUGUUGUGGUUAAAAAGCUCGUAGUUGAACCUUGGGCCUGGCUGGCCGGUCCGCCUCACCGCGUGUACUGGUCCGGCCGGGCCUUUCCCUCUGUGGAACCUCAUGCCCUUCACUGGGUGUGACGGGGACCAGGACUUUUAC
rnacentral:rRNA from 1 species